rnacentral:rRNA from 1 species
UACAGGAGGGUGCGAGCGUUGUUCGGAAUUAUUGGGCGUAAAGGGCGCGUAGGCGGUGCGGUAAGUCACCUGUGAAAUCUCCUGGCUCAACUGGGAGCUUGCAGGCGAAACUGCCGUGCUGGAGUGUGGGAGAGGUGCGUGGAAUUCCUGGUGUAGCGGUGAAAUGCGUAGAUAUCAGGAGGAACACCUGUGGCGAAAGCGGCGCACUGGACCACAACUGACGCUGGAGGCGCGAAAGCUAGGGGAGCAAACAGG